GUCAUAUUUUGUCUUUCUUUUCGACUCUUUGUGCCUCUCAGUGCGUAAAACCAUGGCGGACGUUACAGUUUUCAUUUUCCCAAUGUGGUUGUGGUAUUGUAUUAUAAUUAUAUGCGGUUUCCUUGCUGUCUCUUUCAUUUUACAUGUACUUGCCGGCAUUUAAAAGGAUUUCCCAACGUCCCAAACGUGAUCUGCGUGGCAUUUUCAUGAAGAAAUUUAUCUUUUAAUGAUGAAUUUUUUAUUUUGACGGGCAGCUUGGUAGCACUAUUUGCAAAGAAAAUAUUGAGGAAUAAUUUGAAUUGUCCGGUCACAAGAUUAACAAAAUCAUACGCGAGACAAAUUGCGCACUGCAAUGGCUUCCGCAGACUAAUCAAUCGAGAAUUGUUUCUUUCCCACACUGUGUUGUUCGAAGUGUGUACAGCUUAUGCUGAGCGUCAAGGUUGAGGUUGACAUAUUUUCAUGCUACUGAGACUGUCAUAGUGAAGUUUGGCGUGCAAUUUAACCCAAGUACAUUAUUCUUUCUUCCAUGAGCGGGAAGGUUGAAUUUAUUCAUGAAAAACGUUAUAUUACCACGGUUAGGAGUUAGUCUGGAGGAAGGUCAAUCUACCACGAGGAAGAAGAUUGUGGAGUGAAAAUUUUGGAUAUGCCAAAAAGUAGCUCUUAUUGAUCUAGGAGCAUCCCAAAAAUUUCGAUCCGAUACAAGCAUGCGUUCAAAAGUU